GGCGGCGGCGGCGGUGAAAGGACGUUCGCCUAAUCAGCUCUUUUUGCUUACCCAGACUACCUGAAAACGGUUGCCGUGGCUACGGAAUCACAUCUUGACGUCACUGAGCCUGCGGAAGUGUUUACGUGUUUCCGGCGUCGACAUCGUACCUGGACACACGGGUGGCGGCGGCGGCGGUGAAAGGACGUUCGCCUAAUCAGCUCUUUUUGCUUACCCAGACUACCUGAAAACGGUUGCCGUGGCUACGGAAUCACAUCUUGACGUCACUGAGCCUGCGGAAGUGUUUACGUGUUUCCGGCGUCGACAUCGUACCUGGACACACGGGUGGCGGCGGCGGCGGUGAAAGGACGUUCGCCUAAUCAGCUCUUUUUGCUUACCCAGGUUGGUAAAUUCGCUUAUUUCUCAAUACCGCCUUACCGCCACCGCCGUUGCCACCGUGUUUCAGUGCUUUGCUGAGUUCUCUGUGCAUAAUGUGCCUUUUUCCUAAUUGAAUGCUCCCGAAUUGAGUGCGAACUGAGUGCUACUGUGAAUGCCUGGACAACGUACCAUGACAAGCACGUGCCAGUCUUGUGAUGAGCCCCUCCCCUGUGAUGGGCGUG